rnacentral:lncRNA from 1 species
CUAUAUAAUAGGAGUUCUGUACAAAAUAAAUAAAUAAUUACAUUUUAAGGAGACAACGGUCCAACAACCCAAAGUUGACUGGGAGACGACGACCUAGACCUCUCACGAACUCGUCACAACAUCCUCCAUGCGCCUCAUCCAGCGGUACCUGUUCUUGACCUGUGGGGGUGUGAGACAGCAAGAGUGAGCUCACAUACGUUCAUCGCUCAACAAGUUGUGGGGAAUAAUGUUCAUGAACUCGCCAAAAGUGGGAGCUCAUGCGAAGUGUAAAGCUUACCAAAGAAGAUGGUUGAAGCUGAGCAUUGCUUUUAAAGUUGGUCAAAAUUUUAUCAGUAAUUACUAAGUAUAAGUAAAUACCAACCCUAUUAAGUAGUAGAACAAAAGUGAUAACAACACCUGCAAUGUAAUGCAUAUGACAAAUUGAAUUUAGUUUCAUAAGUUAAUCAUGUGAGGGUCCGAGUUGCUCGACCGUGAGCACAACUAGUAUACCAGUUUUACACUCUGCAGAGGUUGCACAUCUUUACCCACAAGUCAUGUUACCCAUCUGCCAAGGGAUCGUGACUUCCCAUACACCUCUACCGAGGAGGCGAGGCAUGGUAACACUACGAGGCCUUUACAAAGUUCCACUAGCUUCAGAAUACCCGCUACAUUUUAUAGGAAGCUCCAGUGCAGGGAUCCCUCGCCUGACCGCCAUCGCAGCAAAAUUGAAAGGGAAAUAGGGUCAAACCUUUUCCUAAAUAAUUUUGGUGGUUGAAUUGCCCAACACAAAUAAUUGGACUAACUAGUUUGCUCUAGAUUAUGAGUUCUACAGGUGCCAAAGGUUCAACACAAACCAAUAAAAAGUCCAAGAAAGGGUUUAAAUACAAAGGAGCAAAACCAACCAAAGGUUGUCCUGGUCUGGCGCACCGGACUGUCUGGUGUGCCACCGGACAGUGUCCGGUGCACCAGGGAGAAUCACUCCGAACUCCUCGGCUUCGGGUUUCUAGAAAAUGUUCUCCGCUAUAAUUCACCGGACUGCCCGGUGUGACACCGGACUUUCCGGUGUGCUAGGCGGAGUAACGGCUACAGCGCCAACGAUCAUCUGCACCACCGGACUGUUCGGUGGCCCAGCUAUCAGAAGCUCCAACAGUCGAACCCUAACGGUUGGGUGACGUGGCUGGCGCACCGGACUAUCCGGUGCGCCCGUCGACAGCAGCCAUCCCCAACGGCCACUUUGGUGGUUGGGGCUAUAAAUACCCCCCCAACCACCACACUUCAAGGGAUCCAAGUUUUCAGCCAACACAUUCAAUACAAGAGCUAGUGCAUUCAAUACAAGACACAAAUAGAUUGAAUCAAAAUCUCUCCAAGUGACUUUCAAAAUUCCGCCUAUUCACCCCUAUUCACCCCUUAUAAAUUUCAGAUUCCGCCUAUUCACCCCCCUCUAGGUGACUUUCAAAAAUCAACCCAAGGACAUCCCUACACUGAUCACUCCCCUAUUGCCCUUGCCCCUUUCAGGUAAGGUAGUCAUCCACUAGCUUUCCUAAUUAAUCAGCCAAGGGGUCCCAUUCCUCCCUUGUGGUAGCUUUGUUUUCCCGGGUGGUCGCUCCAUGUUCUAAUUUACACAAUGAUCUUAGCAUGAACAGUAAUAAUAAAUUGAUAGUAAAAGUGUAAUCAUGAAUAAUAUAUCUCCAUACCCAAAACCACAUAAAGCAAUAGCAGGUACUACCCAAAAAUUCGGUAGUGAACAAGGUAUAAAGAUAGUCAAACUAGGGUAACCUAUUGGGUCCCAUCAAAAUUAACUGAUGUAGAUUAUUAUGAUUAAUCAGAACAUGACUGGGUAAAAAGAAGUGAUCAAGCGCACAACUUGCCUGGGACUUGAGAUUCUAGGUACCAACUUGCUCUUCAUAUGACACGUGUCCUCACUGCUAAACGUAGCGAUACAGAUAAACAUGGUAUAGGCAAAAUUAACUUCACACCAAACAUAAGAAUAAACUGCAUAAUAAUAAUCUACACGCUGCUACAAGAUCGUGGGUUCGAGAACCGCUAAAUUCGGAGUUACGGUGAUAAAGUUAUGAUUUUUCCGAAGUUAUUAAAUACUUGGCACGUGAUAAAUUAAGUAAACAAUUUUAAUCUAUGUUUCAUGUCUAAACAGAGUUACUAGGUGAUAAACAAUAUUGAAACAAAAUUAAUGCAACUAGAAUGGAUUAAUUUGGAGUUAAAAUAAAUUUAAUAUGAAUUUAGCAAGUUCCUAGAAUUAUUUUUGUACUAAAAAUCCUUUUCCCAUAUUAAUUACUUGAUUUAAUCAAUCCCUGGGCUGCGGCCACAAUUCCAGAGAAGUCUAGGGUCAAGUUUGGAAAUUUCCAGGACCUGAGUUUAAUGUUCUAACACUACGCAUAGACUGCGGGUUGAAUAUGCCAAAGAAUAGGGGCUCUUUAGCAAAAGAUCCCGGCCAAAGGGGUAUCACAUGUUGUGAGCCAUCCGAUCUAACGCCGACGGACCCGAUUAGAUCAACCACACCCGAACCGGUACACCAUCAGGGAUCUUGGAUCCCGGAUCCGUGGUCGAGAUUCGGCCACGCUAUAGACUAAUCUCCCCCCCCCGCUCAGCCUAGAUCCAACGAAUCAGAUCAACGGUCCCCCGCGAUCGCACCGGAACCGCACGAUCGCGAUCGACCGCUCAGAUUCGCUCAGGGCGAAUCGUUUCAUGGAUUCCAUCUCCAUCGUAUACUCCGGGAUCAACGGUUCACCGCUCACCAUCCCCACCCCGCGGCUGGCCUGGCGGAGCAGUGCCCCCACGGUGGCAGUGGCCUCACCGGAGAACUCAAUACCGACAGACCAGUCCUUAAUCGAUCAGACGAGGUUCUCUAUGCAUCUAUUAGGGGAUUGUGAAGCACGAGGAAGUAAUCAUACCACGUUUUUUGGGCGUCAGUGGUACUAACCACGGCAGACAGCGGAUCGUCGGCACCGACCCAACAUCGAUGACGAAUUG